GACGAACGCUGGCGGCGUGCCUAAUACAUGCAAGUAGAACGCUGAAGGAGGAGCUUGCUUCUCCGGAUGAGUUGCGAACGGGUGAGUAACGCGUAGGUAACCUGCCUGGUAGCGGGGGAUAACUAUUGGAAACGAUAGCUAAUACCGCAUAACAGUAGAUGUUGCAUGACAUUUGCUUAAAAGGUGCAAUUGCAUCACUACCAGAUGGACCUGCGUUGUAUUAGCUAGUUGGUGAGGUAACGGCUCACCAAGGCGACGAUACAUAGCCGACCUGAGAGGGUGAUCGGCCACACGGGGACUGGGACACGGCCCAGACUCCUACGGGAGGCAGCAGGGGGGAAUUUUGGGCAAUGGGCGAAAGUCUGACCGAGCAACGCCGCGUGGGUGAAGAAGGGUUUCGGGUUGUAAAGCUCUUUUGUAAGGAAAGAACGGGUGGGGGGGUGGAAGGUUCCCCCAUGAAGGGAUCGGAACAAGAAGGGGAGGCUAAAUUCGGG
rnacentral:rRNA from 1 species